rnacentral:rRNA from 1 species
CCUACGGGAGGCAGCAGUGAGGAAUAUUGGUCAAUGGGCGAGAGCCUGAACCAGCCAAGUCGCGUGAGGGAGUACUGCCCUAUGGGUUGUAAACCUCUUUUGUCGGGGAGCAAAAGCCGGACGUGUCCGGCUGUGAGAGUACCCGAAGAAAAAGCAUCGGCUAACUCCGUGCCAGCAGCCGCGGUAAUACGGGGGAUGCGAGCGUUCUCCGGAUUUAUUGGGUUUAAGGGGUGCGCAGGCGGAUUUUUAAGUCAGCGGUAAAAUCGUGGGGCUCAACCCCAUCCAGCCGUUGAAACUGGGGAUCUAGAGUGUGCGAGAGGUAUGCGGAAUGCGUGGUGUAGCGGUGAAAUGCAUAGAUAUCACGCAGAACCCCGAUUGCGAAGGCAGCAUACCGGUGCACAACUGACGCUCAGGCACGAAAGCGUGGGUAUCGAACAGGAUUAGAUACCCCUGUAGUC